rnacentral:rRNA from 1 species
CAUUAGCUAGUUGGUGAGGUAACGGCUCACCAAGGCGACGAUGCGUAGCCGACCUGAGAGGGUGAUCGGCCACACUGGGACUGAGACACGGCCCAGACUCCUACGGGAGGCAGCAGUAGGGAAUCUUCCGCAAUGGACGAAAGUCUGACGGAGCAACGCCGCGUGAGUGAUGAAGGUUUUCGGAUCGUAAAGCUCUGUUGUUAGGGAAGAACAAGUGCAAGAGUAACUGCUUGCACCUUGACGGUACCUAACCAGAAAGCCACGGCUAACUACGUGCCAGCAGCCGCGGUAAUACGUAGGUGGCAAGCGUUGUCCGGAAUUAUUGGGCGUAAAGGGCUCGCAGGCGGUUUCUUAAGUCUGAUGUGAAAGCCCCCGGCUCAACCGGGGAGGGUCAUUGGAAACUGGGAAACUUGAGUGCAGAAGAGGAGAGUGGAAUUCCACGUGUAGCGGUGAAAUGCGUAGAGAUGUGGAGGAACACCAGUGGCGAAGGCGACUCUCUGGUCUGUAACUGACGCUGAGGAGCGAAAGCGUGGGGAGCGAACAGGAUUAGAUACCCUGGUAGUCCACGCCGUAAACGAUGAGUGCUAAGUGUUAGGGGGUUUCCGCCCCUUAGUGCUGCAGCUAACGCAUUAAGCACUCCGCCUGGGGAGUACGGUCGCAAGACUGAAACUCAAAGGAAUUGACGGGGGCCCGCACAAGCGGUGGAGCAUGUGGUUUAAUUCGAAGCAACGCGAAGAACCUUACCAGGUCUUGACAUCCUCUGACAACCCUAGAGAUAGGGCUUUCCCUUCGGGGACAGAGUGACAGGUGGUGCAUGGUUGUCGUCAGCUCGUGUCGUGAGAUGUUGGGUUAAGUCCCGCAACGAGCGCAACCCUUGAUCUUAGUUGCCAGCAUUCAGUUGGGCACUCUAAGGUGACUGCCGGUGACAAACCGGAGGAAGGUGGGGAUGACGUCAAAUCAUCAUGCCCCUUAUGACCUGGGCUACACACGUGCUACAAUGGACAGAACAAAGGGCUGCGAGACCGCAAGGUUUAGCCAAUCCCACAAAUCUGUUCUCAGUUCGGAUCGCAGUCUGCAACUCGACUGCGUGAAGCUGGAAUCGCUAGUAAUCGCGGAUCAGCAUGCCGCGGUGA